AGUGAACGCUGGCGGUAUGCCUAACACAUGCAAGUCGAACGGCAGCACAGUAAGAGCUUGCUCUUACGGGUGGCGAGUGGCGGACGGGUGAGGAAUACAUCGGAAUCUACUUUUUCGUGGGGGAUAACGUAGGGAAACUUACGCUAAUACCGCAUACGACCUACGGGUGAAAGCAGGGGAUCUUCUGACCUUUCGCUAUUGAAUGAGCCGAUGUCGGAUUAGCUAGUUGGCGGGGUAAAGGCCCACCAAGGCGACGAUCCGUAGCUGGUCUGAGAGGAUGAUCAGCCACACUGGAAUGGAGACACGGUCCAGACUCCUACGAGAGGCAGCAGUGGGGAAUAUUGGACAAUGGGCGCAAGCCUGAUCCGGCCAUACCGCGUGGGUGAAGAAGGCCUUCGGGUUGUAAAGCCCUUUUGUUGGGAAAGAAAAGCAGCAGGUUAAUACCCCGCUGUUCUGACGGUAACCAAAGAAUAAGCACCGGCUAACUUCGUG
rnacentral:rRNA from 1 species